rnacentral:rRNA from 1 species
GACGAACGCUGGCGGCGUGCUUAACACAUGCAAGUCGAACGGAAAGGCCCUGCUUUUGUGGGGUGCUCGAGUGGCGAACGGGUGAGUAACACGUGAGUAACCUGCCCUUGACUUUGGGAUAACUUCAGGAAACUGGGGCUAAUACCGGAUAGGAUCUCCUGCUGCGUUGUGGGGGUUGGAAAGUUUCGGCGGUUGGGGAUGGACUCGCGGCUUAUCAGCUUGUUGGUGGGGUAGUGGCUUACCAAGGCUUUGACGGGUAGCCGGCCUGAGAGGGUGACCGGGCACAUGGGGACUGAGAUACGGCCCAGACUCCUACGGGAGGCAGCAGUGGGGAAUAUUGCACAAUGGGCGGAAGCCUGAUGCAGCAACGCCGCGUGCGGGAUGACGGCCUUCGGGUUGUAAACCGCUUUCGCCUGUGACGAAGCGUGAGUGACGGUAAUGGGUAAAGAAGCACCGGCUAACUACGUG